UUUUGCAUCGAUGCCACGGUGAAGUGUGGCUUUGAAC
rnacentral:sRNA from 1 species